GAUGAACGCUGGCGGUAUGCUUAACACAUGCAAGUCGAACGGACUCUUCGGAGUUAGUGGCGGACGGGUGAGUAACGCGUGAGAAUCUGGCUUUGGGUUCGGGACAACCACUGGAAACGGUGGCUAAUACCGGAUGUGCCGAGAGGUAAAAGAGAAAUUGCCUGAAGAUGAGCUCGCGUCUGAUUAGCUAGUUGGUGAGGUAAAGGCUCACCAAGGCAGCGAUCAGUAGCUGGUCUGAGAGGAUGACCAGCCACACUGGGACUGAGACACGGCCCAGACUCCUACGGGAGGCAGCAGUGGGGAAUUUUCCGCAAUGGGCGAAAGCCUGACGGAGCAAUACCGCGUGAGGGAAGGAGGCUCUUGGGUUGUAAACCUCUUUUCUUAGGGAAGAAUAAAAUGACGGUACCUAAGGAAUCAGCAUCGGCUAACUCCGUG
rnacentral:rRNA from 1 species